ACAUUAAUAAUUUAUAGGUUUUAUUACUAUUUUUGUUUAAAAAGAGAAAUUGUUUUUGUUGUCGAUAAAGUUUAAAGUUUUUCAAGAGCCCUCCCCAACCUGUGCGUUGCGUAGCGGAGAGAUAGGCCUGUUUAGGGCAGAGACAGCAAGCACGCGCAGCAGAGUAGCCAUUAGCUGAAAAACUACGGUGAAAAACUAAAAUAACGGUGCAAACCUGUUGUCUAGCCAGACCAGAAGAGGGGUGUGAGCCAAAUAAGAUUUUAUGCCAUUACGAGACGAGUUUUGGCCAGGUUUUUGAGUCCCCCCGAGAGAAAUUGGGAGACGUUCUGGACUUCUCCUGAUCCAUGGAUGGCGAGCCUACCCAAGGAGCACGAUAAUCCGGACUGCCUGUAGAGCAUCACGUGGUCCUUUACUUUUCCUCACUACUACAAAAUCUCUGCCAAGGUUGCGGUAGGAGAUUGAACACUAACUGUGGAUCCAAUAUACUUUAAAGGAGCACUACCAAAACUGGAUACGUCUGCUAACAAACUUUAAAGGAUUUUGCUAAGCAAUUGGACAUUUAGAAAAACAGUUCUUUGUUUGCUUUGCAUAUUGAAUUGUCUUUUGUUUGAUAUCUGAUAUUUUGUAACUUUAAAGGAUACUUUUGGUGUAAAUUUAAAGUGACAAAACUGAUUUACAAAAAAGUGAAAAGGGUAAAUAUAGUGAACUCAAAAGAAAGCUUAAACUAAAUUUAAGUUAAAUAAAUUCAGUUCUGUAACUAAAAUCCCUUUAAACCAAAUGACCGGUCAUCUUUAAGUAAAAUAGAUUGAAACUGAAAUUAACUUGAACAAAACCUUUUAUUUGAACUUUAACAGAAGAAGUAAAGAAAAAAACAACAUAAAGGGUGUUGAAGAGGUGUCUUAACAUUACUUAAGAACCAUAUUUGUAUGUUUAUUGUUGUUUGUCAAUCAUUCAGUAAACUGCCGGCUUUUUCUUUUCCAUUCUACCUUUGUAUUGACUCUUGGCUCUUUUAUUCAAUACACACCACUCCGUGCGAACCUAUAUCUGGUCCAAUAGCUUGACUACCUCUGCCUAAUAGCAUAGGUGCUACACAUGGGUCGACCGUCCUACCACGGCUGCCCACGAAUGUGAUCUAUGUUUUCAGUCCAGGAUGUUUUUCUCUCAGCUCUGCAGCUACUUCUGAGAAUUUCAGGAACAUCUGAAAUGUUCAGGUGAAAAGACCACGAUCCCUUUCAGGUGACUUUGGUGUCUUCUUUAGGGGAUCUUGGAAUGUUUGUCUCUGAUUAAAAGACCUGAUGUUGUC